GCAGCCCCGCCCCCGACACCCUGGCGCGGCCUGGAGCGCUUGGCUCUCUGUCCGUUGCGGGCCGUGGCUAGGGCUGCUGAGGGAGUCGUGGGUGCUUCCGCUUUCCCUGGUUUCUAGGCCCGGCGCGUCCUCCUCUCCUCCACGGCCUCCUCGCCGCCGUCGCGCAGCCCUUGUCCUCUGCCUGCUGCCUUCCUGCCAGGGUUCCCGCGCAUCGUCAGGGACGUGCAGCAUGCAUACCACAAAAUCAGAAAGUAAAGAUGAGGAGGAUAUAAAUUUCCAACCAACUACAUCUAGUCAGGUCUAUGGUGCAUAUAAAGGAACUAAAGAAACAGUCCUGUACACAGAGGAAACAAUACCACAGAGGAAAAAGAGGACAUGUUUUUCUUGUCCUCCACAAGGAAUAGUCAAUAAUAUAAUGACAAGUGGAGUUAUAUACUUUAUGAUUUUGUGUAUACUCUGGCUACUCUCAGGCCCUGAAGUUCUCCCUGGUGGAAAUUUAUUUAGACUAGUAAUUAUUUUCUAUAGUGCCCGUCUUGGAGGGACACUUUUGAAACUCAUUAGAAUACCUACAGUGCCCCCACUUCCACCUCUUCUUGGGGUGUUACUGGCUGGUUUUAUCAUCAGGAAUAUUCCAUCCAUCAGUAAACAUGUCAGAGUCCCUAGCAAGUGGUCUUCAACUCUAAGAAGCUCUGCCCUUACUAUCAUCCUAAUACGAGCAGGGCUCGGACUCGAUCCACAGGCUCUGCGGCAGAUGAAGACCGGCUGCUUCCGGCUGUCCUUUGGUCCGUGCAUCGUAGAGGCGUGCACCGCUGCUGUUGUUUCCCACUUCGUCAUGGAUUUCCCUUGGCAGUGGGGGUUUCUAUUAGGUUUUGUGCUAGGUGCCGUCUCUCCUGCGGUCGUGGUCCCAUCCAUGCUGCACUUGCAGGAGGCAGGGUAUGGCAUAGAGAAGGGCAUCCCCACCCUCCUGAUCGCUGCCAGCAGUAUGGACGACGUCGUGGCUAUCACGGGGUUCAACACAGUCUUGAACCUCAUCUUCUCCAAAGGUAGCAUACUUAAUAAUGUCCUAUCAACUUUAUGGGAUGUAUUUGUUGGUGUGCUGGUAGGAACUGUUUUCGGACUUUUUGUUCAAUAUUUUCCAAGUGAAGAUCAGACUAGAGUCCAAAAACUUAUUUUAAAUGCAUGGAAUAUUUUUGAACCUCUUCUUUUUGGCUUAGUUGGAUCAGAAAUAUCUAUUUCAUCUCUUGAAAGAAAUUCUAUUGGCACUUGUGUCAUUACCCUGUGUUUGGCAGUAUUUGUCCGAAUUUUAAGCACAUUUGUACUGAUGUGUUUUGCUGGUUUUAAUUUUAAGGAGAAAAUAUUUAUUGCUUUAUCAUGGAUGCCCAAAGCUACAGUUCAGGCUGUCCUGGGUCCCCUGGCUCUGGAGACAGCACGGCUCACGGCACCCCACUUGGAGCCGUACUCGAAGGACGUGAUGACUGUGGCGUUUUUAGCCAUCCUGAUCACAGCCCCAAACGGGGCACUGCUCAUCAGCAUCCUGGGGCCCAGGAUGCUCUCGCGCCGCUCAAACCCGAGCGCAGUGAGACUGCACCUGCCAGGACUCCGGGCCACUAAUGUCAUCGCUGCCUCGCAACUGAUGUCUCAGUGAAUUCGCUCGGCGCAGGACAUGGUUAAAGUACAGGAGUCCCCAGCCUGUCCCAUGAAGACGGCACAUAAAUGGUUUGUGGAACGAUGCACUCUGCCUGUGGACACAGUGGUGGCGAACCCAUGGCACCUGUGCCACAGCGGUCACACAGAGCCCUCUCCGCCAUGAUGUCACAGUUGUGUGGAUAAACUGCAGCUGAAGCAUAAUGUAAAUAACCAUGAACCAGUGUGGUGGCACAUACUUGUAAUCCCAGCACCUGGAAGGCUGAUGCAGGAGAAUUUUGAGUUCCAGGCCAGCCUGGACCAUGUAUUGAGUCCCUGUCUAAAAAAAAUUUUUUUUUAAUCCAACAGAUCUAAAAUUAAACCUGUUCCUCUCUCGGUAAAACCCUCAAAACAUAAUGAUUCUUCUACUUAACUACUCAAAGAAACACUGGCUUAAGUCUGACUCUUCCAAAAUAGAUGAUUUCUGACACCACCAAUGCCAAACAGACCUACGUAUACACAUGGCCGUCAGAAUGCCCAGCACAUGGUGGCAUGGGCUGAGGUGAUGGAGCUGGAGGAAGCACGACCAGUCCUCUGCAAGGGUAUUUUCCAGACCAACCUGACACUGCUGCAUGAUAGAAAUCUUUGGAGAUGUAAGCCUUUAGUCAGUGGAAUGAAGCUCUGUAGGGGACAGGACUUUGCCCUCUGCAUCCGUUACGUCCUUAUAAAUAAGUGGAGUCUCCAGAAAGAUUCUCUGAAUGAACUGACACGUUUCCACAGGCUUACUUACACCCGCUGUGGUACAUUCAUGGCUAUCCCAUCCGGCGGCCUGUACCACUCAGCAGGACAUACAAAUGCCCCAUGAUGGACAGUCAUGCAUGUCAGUGAGACAAAUUCUGGCCCUGCCGUGAUGUGUUAAAAAAGUUCCUAGCCGGGGAUUUAAGCUCAGUGGUUCCAGCGCCUGCCUCACAAGUGCAAGGUCCUGAGUUCGAUACCCGGUACCAAAAAAAAAACAAUUCCUUACAGGAAACGAGCUGCUGUCAACAUGACCAAGCCGCUAGCCACUGCCUGGAUAUGUCCCUAGGACUUUCUUUUCAUCACACACAGCAGGACAAAAGCCUGAAAAACACUGCCUGGGAAGAAGAACGUAUUGCUUGGUGGAGGCAGCGGCGACAUGGGGAAGCACCAGGAUUGGCCAAGAUAAAGGCGAGACCACAGGCACACAGCCUUUCCAUGGCUUCUGUGGAAAAGCGAGGCAGGGUGGGUGGCUGUCUCCAGCGGCCAAGGGAAUCAUCUGAAAGCGGGCAAUGGGAGCCCAGGGCCCCACAGAAUGGUACCUCUCUGACGAGAGUCCAGGGGACACUGGCCUGGUGUGGAGGAGUCCAAGGAGGAGGCUCUGCAGGCUCAGGCCUCGGCUCAUCUGCAAACGAGAGGCAAGCUCCCGCCAGCUAUUUCCUAUCUCCAAGAAUUAAAUUAGCUUGUCCUGGGAGGAGCCGUCUCCUCAGUCAGCCCACAUUGUCAAAGCAUCACAGAAUGCAGAAAAUGAAAUACAUGAUUACUAUUCACCGGUAAAGUAAAACUCUGGCUCACGCUGGCCACCUUUCCCAGGCUCAGCAGCCACCUGCAGUCAAUGGCAACGCAUCCAACAGCACAGAGGACAUUCCCACGGCCACAAACUGAGGACAGCACAGCGCAGAGUGUGGGUUCCUGGAGGCUUCCUUCCCAGGCUCUGUCACCACAUCUCUCCCCUCGGUCCCUGCGCCCGGCCACAGUCGCCGCCCACCAGCAGCCUCCCUCGGCUCCCUGCACACGGCGUCCCCCUCCACCUAUGGGGCUUUCCCGCCUCUGGUUUGCCGCGUGUGUAAGCUCACAGCACAGGACUGGUGCCCCUGCAGUGCCGCCACCCGGCCCGCCUCUCUGCAGCCACACAGGACAUGGCCACCUGUCCCGUCCCUCCCUUCUGUUCACACCACCUUCUAGAUCAGGCAACCAAGGCACAUAUGCUGAAGCAGGGUCCUGGAAUAACAUUCAGUUAGGCCAGGGGAGGGAGGAGAGGGCAGGGGAGUAAAAAGAAUUAAGAUGUGUUAGGUAUGCAUUAAUACUCCUCACGACCAAUGUAAUCGCCCUGUACUGCAAGCAUAUACUAAUACAAGAAUUUCAAAGGAUUUAAUAUAAAAUUAUUCUAUUUAUUGCAAUAAUUAAAAACCCACAGGAGGGUAAAUUGCCAAAAAGCAUAUGAGUAAGAACAUAAGGGUGAAGACCUUAACUUUCAACUCUUCACAGAGUCUGCCUAUCUUAAUUUACUAAACUCAGGAAACAAAUGGUAUUAACAGAGUUUUUAAAUCUACUUCAGAAAAUGUUCUUUUAAACACUUGAUUCCUUGGUAAAACACUGCUCUAAAACAAUGUGAAAAUGAGAGGUACUGUUACCACCUGCAACAAGGUAAGACUGCAGCCUAUUUCCUGAUGUGGUUUAAACCCACGGCUCCAUAAAAUGGAAUUGGGCCCUAAAAAGGUCAAUUCAAGUCAUUUUAGGUGUAUUUAUGAUGAUUUUUAGUGAAAACUGUCAAAUACAGAAGAAUUAAAUAAGAAUUUUAAAACUUUUAUUUGAUGAAUAUUGGGCCAUUAGCUACUUUGGAGGGAAAAAUAUUACCUACUAACUGUAAACAGUGUAUAAAAUAAUGUAAAACAACAUAUAUUUUAUUCGGCAUAUGUUUAUUUUUAAUUAUUUAAAAAUGUAAAUAAAAUUUGAAAAACUUAGAAAAGUAAACCACAAUCCUACUCGCAAGAAUUGGUAACAAUUUUGUACAUUUCUAGUUUGUCUUUUUGGGGGAGUGUAAACAUAUAUAUUAUAAAUGCUUUUUAAAACUGAAACCAGGCCGGGGAUUAGCUCAGAGGUUCCGCCUCCUGCCUUGCAAGUGCAAGGUCCAGAGUUCGAUCCCUGGUACCAAAAAAAACACCAAACCUGAAACCACACUGUAAACAGUCUCCAUCCCACUUUUUACAUAAUAUACAUCAGACUAUCCUGUCAUUCCCGAUCCCAUUAGUGACAUCUGAAAACACCAGCUGCAGUGGCUGCCUCCUCGCCCGGGUCAAGGCACAGGCCCCGAAGGGCCAAGAGCAGGACCUCAGGCCGGUCUCCACUGUGCCUGCUCAUGGUGCCCAGCCCCUCUCAUUUGCCGCUUACUGAGGCACGCGUUAUUCACGGUUCAUCUGCUAUGUGUUAAGUGUUCAGUUUGAUGAGUUUUGAAAUGACCUGUAAACACCACCUAAAACAAAACACAAGGCUUUGUUUGUUUUGGCAGAAGUGUGGAUUGAACCCAAGACCUUUGCACUGAGCUACAUACAUCCCUGUUUUAAUUAUUUUGUUGUUGUUGUUGUUGUUUUGGUAUGGGGAUCAAACUCAGGACC